GUUUAUCUGUUCUCUGGGGGACACAUUUAAAACUGCCUCAGUGGGACACUGCAGGGUGCUCACAGAUAAGGUGCCCAACCCAGCAUAAAAACGGCAAGGUAACACACAGUGCCUUCAUGCAGCUGCCCUAACCUGAGAUUGUGCAUUGAUGUUGGCUCCGCUGGUCACCAGCUCCUUCACGACUUCUGUCUGGCCAGCGAGGGAGGCGAUGUGCAGUGCAGUGUUACCCUUCUGCAGGCAGAUAGAGGUUGCUGGAAGUGGGACAGAGGCCUCCUUUUUUGAGUGGUUUAGAAAAACUGAUUUUCGAUUGGUCUAAAAACGGAUGCAUCGGUCAUUUUAGCUAGAACACUUUUUCUGAAACAAGAGCCUUGACAAAGUAAUUACAAGAAGCAUUACGAGAAGCAUGUAUGUACAAUGGUGCUAAUAUAUUUUUUGCUAUUGAAUUUCAGUGGGUGUGAGGCAGUUUUAUUUUAACGAGCAUUAAUUAGCAUUUAUGUAAUUCAUGUAAAAAAUUGUCCAAUACAUAUUUAAAAGGGCUUUAAAUGUUAAAAACGGUGAACAUCCCAUUUAAGGAAACUCCUAGCUGGUGAACAACGCUACACUAAGGUUCGCUACGCUAACAGGUUCUGUGUCCGAUUAAU